rnacentral:misc_RNA from 1 species
UACGGAGGGAGCUAGCGUUGUUCGGAAUUACUGGGCGUAAAGCGUACGUAGGCGGUUAUUCAAGUCAGAGGUGAAAGCCUGGAGCUCAACUCCAGAACUGCCUUUGAAACUAGAUAGCUAGAAUCUUGGAGAGGUGAGUGGAAUUCCGAGUGUAGAGGUGAAAUUCGUAGAUAUUCGGAAGAACACCAGUGGCGAAGGCGACUCACUGGACAAGUAUUGACGCUGAGGUACGAAAGCGUGGGGAGCAAACCGG